rnacentral:rRNA from 1 species
CGCCGCGGUUAAACGAGAGGCCCCAGUUGAUAUUAACACGGCGUAAAGGGUGGUUAAGGAAAGAAGGCAAUAAAGCUAAAUGGCCCUUUGGCCGUUAUACGCUCCUAGGUGUCCGAAACCCAAUCACGAAAGUAGCUUUAAAAACCAACCUGACCCCACGAAAGCUGAGAAA